rnacentral:rRNA from 1 species
UACAGAGGUCUCAAGCGUUGUUCGGAAUUACUGGGCGUAAAGGCUCGUAGGCGGCCAACUAAGUCAGACGUGAAAUCCCUCGGCUUAACCGGGGAACUGCGUCUGAUACUGGAUGGCUUGAGGUUGGGAGAGGGAUGCGGAAUUCCAGGUGUAGCGGUGAAAUGCGUAGAUAUCUGGAGGAACACCGGUGGCGAAGGCGGGUCUCUGGGCCGAUACU